AUCACUGGGCUUAAAGCGUACGUAGGCGGGUGCACAGGCGUCUUGUGAAGCCCUCGGCUCAACCGAGGAAUUGCUUGACGAACCGUGUGCCUUGAGGCGGGUAGGGCUGUCGGAACGAUAGGUGGAGUGGUGAAAUGCGUUGAUAUCUAUCGGAACGCCGAAGGAGAAAUCAGACAGCUGGGCCUGUCCUGACGCUGAGGUACGAAAGCGUGGGGAGCGAACGGGAUUAGAUACCCCGGUAGUCCACGCCGUAAACGAUGUGCACUAGAUCGAGGGGGUUCUGACACUGCUCUCGGUCGAAGCGAAAGUGUUAAGUGCACCGCCUGGGGAGUACGGUCGCAAGGCUAAAACUCAAAGGAAUUGACGGGGGCUCACACAAGCGGUGGAGCAUGUGGCUUAAUUCGAAGCAACGCGAAGAACCUUAUCCUGGGUUUGACAUGCAUGGAUUAGCUCUGUGAAAGCAGAGUGACGCGGCUUGCCGUGGAACAUGCACAGGUGCUGCAUGGCUGUCGUCAGCUCGUGCUGUGAAGUGUCGGGUUAAGUCCCUUAACGAGCGCAACCCUUAUCGCUAGUUGCCAGCGCGUCAUGGCGGGGACUCUAGCGAGACUGCCGGUGUCAAACCGGAGGAAGGUGGGGAUGACGUCAAGUCCGCAUGGCCUUUAUGCCCAGGGCUGCACACGUGCUACAAUGGCCGGUACAGAACGACGCAAUACCGCGAGGUGGAGCAAAUCGCCAAAGCCGGCCCCAGUUCGGAUUGCAGGCUGCAACUCGC
rnacentral:rRNA from 1 species